GGCUUGAUGGUGUAGUGGUAACACACCUGCUUUACGUUGCCGAGAACUGAACCAAUGUUUGAGCAGAAGAUCCUUGUUCAAUUCAAGGUCAGGCCA